rnacentral:lncRNA from 1 species
GGGUUCCCAGCAUGAUUGGACUACGGGGCAGAAUGCGCAUAAGCUGGCAGUGCUGAGCGGGGCCUGACUCUUCUUGGAGAGAAAGGUGUCACUUCCAGAUGAGGAUGACAUGUCAAGAAGUUGCUGCUAACCUAAAGUCCUCCACAGGACCUUUUGUUGUGAGCUGCAGAAACCAAACUUGAAUGAGUUUUGGUUAGGAGAGGACUUUAUUGGAAAAUGCUCUUUCCCAAGGAUCUAAUUUGGAGUGUGCUGAAAAGGUGUUCAUGGGCUUGCUCUGGCCUAAUGGGUAGAGAUGAGAAGUGAUGCAUGGGGAUCGCUAACAGGUGUGGUUGGAAUGGAAAGGAAGCACAGUUGUGCCCUGGAGCUGGGAAGAAAGCGUGCCCAGGAGACAAAAUAAUAUGGAUCCACUUGUCUGUCAUUCGUUACAGAUGCUCCAAGAGAAUGGGUUAAAACAAUUGUAAGUUGAACGUGAAGCCCUGCGACAAUCAUCAUGUCAUGUUAGGUUUCCCGGCUUCCAGGAUGUCUCACACGGAACCUGCCAUGCUGGGGUAGGUGUGGUCAUCCGUGCAGGCCUCGCUCUUCCUGGCUUGUCCCUGCCCUCACUCAGUAACCAGGGACCCGUUUCCAGGUCAGCCUGCUUCUCCUGCUCAGCUGCCCCUGGAGGACCUGAGCAUGCCAUACUCGCCGGGACACUGCCAGCACCCACUUCAGAGAAAGGCAAGCGGUCAGAUGUUCCUGCACCUUCCGAGGUGCUGCUGCUUCGCUUUGAGUUUUGCUGCUUGACCCUCACUGCCCUGCAUAAGAUGAUGCUAGAAAGGACAGGUGGCUCCUUGUCCUCAGUGGCCGCAGAGCUAAAUCAGUCCUCUUAGCCACAUCCAUCUGCUCCUGCCCUGCAACUUCUCUCCGUCUUCCCGGCCCCACAAGGCUGAAGGAUAGAAUGUGGGCUGGAGAUCUUUUCUUGCUUGAAAUGAACCGUGGGCAGUGGAGUCUCGGGGGCACCUUGUUAGAUUGCUGGACUCUGAGUCCAGCUGACAGGGGAACUCUGUGGGCUUACGAUCUGGAUCUGCAGCACCGUGGUGGAGUUUUCAUUUCCCCUUCCUCUCUCUUCCUUUUCCCUCUUCUCCGACAUGACACCAGGGAUGCAUUUCUGCCUUUCCUCUCUCAGGACACUUCUUCAGGAAUUCCUACUGGCCUACAGGAGAAAGUGACUGGAGGGAAACACUGCAGCUAACAAGUUUCUGCAGCAGUUCAGGAGAGAAAAUGAGGACUCAUAGAAGCACAUUGCAAUGAGAAUGGAAGGAGAAGGUUGGAGGUAAGAGAUGAUUUAUCCUCUGUGGCUGAACACAAAAAGCCAUACCACAAAAAGCCUUAGUUAUCUCAGGUUUUGACCUUAGAUAACUAAAUUAAUUACAG